rnacentral:rRNA from 1 species
ACGGAGGGUGCGAGCGUUGUCCGGAAUCACUGGGCGUAAAGGGCGCGUAGGUGGCCCGUUAAGUGGUCGGUGAAAUCCCGGAGCUCAACUCCGGGGCUGCCGAUCAGACUGGCGGGCUCGAGCACGGUAGAGGCAGAUGGAAUUCCCAGUGUAGCGGUGAAAUGCGUAGAUAUUGGGAGGAACACCAGUGGCGAAGGCGGCUCACUGGACCGGUACUGACGCUGAGGCGCGAAAGCGUGGGGAGCAAACAGGA